GCGAACCCCAAAUGUGUGCGCUGAGCCGAGGCCUCUAAGCGGUAGGAGAGAAUCUGACCUCCGACAUUCUUUUCAAGACACGCGCCGGUGGACCGGGUCCUGGGAUUGGCUUACUCCCGGGCUGGACCUUGGGGUUCGCAUAUUUGAAAGCGUAAACUUGAGGAAUGACGGCGGGGUGAUGGGUAUUUUAUAGAGUGGGACUCAAUCGUGCUCAGCAACAGAUUUCUCCAAAUUCCCUUUUAAAAAGAGCCUCCCAGAGCUGUCGAAAUCUCCGCGGGGUGAAAGCUAAACUUUUGGAGUCGCUGUGUAGCCGGGUAGAGGACACGGCGGCGCGAGCCGGAAAGAUAAGUGUCCAGGCGAAUGGGAAAGGAAAGAUCUUAAUUUUUGUUCCUACUGUUAGCUGAAUGUCCAUAAAAAUCAAAGGGAAUGCGGGGAAGUUUUUAUUCCAGAGCGUUUCCAUGACACCCGCAGAGAUUUAAAAAAUUACAUUCCUCCCCCUACGCAGGUUUAAUUCGGAAAGAAGAGACUGCAGAGGAGAGGGAAGACCGUGAGUCUGCUUUCACCUAGGUUUAAAGCGAAUCAAAGACGGCUGUAAAAAGGGAAACCGGGACCAAAAACAGAUUUGGAGCCUCGAAACUCUCCAUUGAAGGUUUGGAAGAUACGUUGCUGCAGACUUGAAACCGGCUCCAAAUCCGGCCCAAACAUGGGCUGAAAAUAUGGCGCGCUAAUCUGCUGCUUCCCCUCCUCCUCAAGUUCUUUCUGACUCUUCCCACCUUUCCCAGUUUCCCUUCCAGACGUCUGCGGCUCCCCACUCCACCCCCAGGAUAGCUACUCUACAUCCCGACAAUUCCCAGCUUCUACACCCAGGAGGAGGAAUUCUGGAACCACCCAGAGCGAACUCGUGCCGGGGCGGGGUGGGGACCGGAGGAAGGUCCUGCUCCGAAUUCUCUCCAGAGCAGAAAAGAAUUCUAGAGGCUACAUGUGGGCUGCUUUCCCCCCUUCUUCCUUUUUUCCCUCGCAAACCAACAACCAAAAAGUGUUUGGUGAUGGAAAGAACACCAGUGGAAAACGGCAAAUAACAGUAUUUCCAACUCCG
rnacentral:lncRNA from 1 species